AAACAGUCCCCUAUGUUUUGAUUCUUUGACAGUUUUAGACCCCCAGUCCAUUAGUGAGGUGCCACGUGGCCCCCUAAAUAAUACACGUGGCACCUCACUAAUGGACUGGGGGUCCAAAACUGCCAAAGAAUCAAAACAUAGGGGGCUGUUU
rnacentral:pre_miRNA from 1 species